rnacentral:lncRNA from 1 species
CUGUCAUUCCCAGCCCGGGAGCGCCGGCUCCUGCCUCCCAUUCAUGUAACCUGUGUGUGUCUCUCUUUCUCUCUGUGUGUAACAGAGAGAGGGAGAGAGAGAGCGAGGCAAGGAGAGGAGGAGGAGGAGGGGGGAAGCUUUAAAUAAAGCCUUUGGAUUGCAGCUGCUUAUUUUGGGCAGUCCUACCAGGGACGAUUCUUGCCAAGAAAGAAGCUGGACCGGUCUUUUUUAUUUUGAUUUUGAUUUUUGGGGGUGGCAGUGGUGUGUUGCUGAUCUGCCUGCUGAGAUGAGCUCCGGUGCCUGCCUGUAGUUGCCCGCUUUGGGAUCGCUGGACACAUAAGUGGCAUUUCGCUGGGGGAAGCCUGCAGACAUGUGAGAAUGGUUGGACCACUGCAGUGGCACUCUGAUUUUUGUGGAUCGUGAACACAAAAAGGGAUUGAGAAGACACCAUCCGAGUUAUUCUGGCACAUGACUUGAGUGCUUUCUAUUCUUAGACAAAUGAGGAUCUGAAAUAUAAACCAAAUUGAAUGGAAAACAGUACUCAGGAGAAGAAAAUUGUUCUUCGUGUUCUGUAUGACAUCCACUCUUAUAGAACACCUGACUGUGAAGUGGAUCCAGAGGAGGGCCACAGAGUUCCUUGGCUUACAGAGAGGUGGAUGUGAGAGCUGUGGGGAGGACAAGGAGAAGGAAAGAGACAGACAUUUAAAAUGUCUCAUCUUUAUCCCGAGGAUGGCUGCACUGAAGUACAUUAUUGCCUAGCAGAGAAUUAUCAUUUUUGUGAGAUCUUAAAAACCAACAGCUGUGAAAUUGACUUCUAACCGAUUUUAAUUGAGAUGGUCCAAAACUUAAAAUAUCAGAAAUAAAAAGUCUGGGUUCUUAUUC